CAUUGCCUGGCUGCAAGGCUGCUUGUAUCCUCCUGGAGUCCUAGGGUUCACAGAGUUGAGGAACAUCUGACCAGUAUGCAAGCAUCCCUCUGAGGUUCUCUCUUGAAUGUCAGAUGUCAGCAGGCUGGAGGUCCAUGCCCCGCUCCCACCCCCCUCAGUGGGAGCCACUUCUGAACUGUGAGUUGACCAUAGCAGAUACCACCAUUGAGUCCAUCCCCCUCAACACCCUUAAAGGAGCUCCCUCACCAACCUUCCUAUCCCAGAAGAAGUCUGUUAUGCCAUCUAGGAAACCAAGAACUGGAUGGCAUACCUGCUGAAAUCUACAAGACUGGCAGUGAGAAAAUGGUACUGAGACUCUGUGAAUUUAUUCUAUGAUUUUGGAACAAUGAAGUGAUCCUGGGGGAUGAGAGGAGUGCCAACAUUGUGACUAUCUUCAAGAAAGGAGGUCCAAGAAAAGUGUCAGGAACAACAUCAGGACCUGUAUAUGGCCUUCAUUGACCUCACUUAGGCCUUUGAUUCUGUCAAUUGUGAAGCCUUUUGGAAAGUAUUGGCUAAAACUUGUAUGUCCUGAAAAGUACAUUAAAGCCCUGAGACUUCUUCAUGA